rnacentral:rRNA from 1 species
AGCAGUAGCCACGGUAAUACGUAGGUGGCAAGCGUUAUCCGGAAUUAUUGGGCGUAAAGCGCGCGUAGGCGGUUUCUUAAGUCUGAUGUGAAAGCCCACGGCUCAACCGUGGAGGGUCAUUGGAAACUGGGAAACUUGAGUGCAGAAGAGGAAAGUGGAAUUCCAUGUGUAGCGGUGAAAUGCGCAGAGAUAUGGAGGAACACCAGUGGCGAAGGCGACUUUCUGGUCUGUAACUGACGCUGAUGUGCGAAAGCGUGGGGAUCAAACAGGAUUAGAUACCCGUGUAGUCCCUGUCUCUUAUAC